UACGGGGGGAGCAAGCGUUGUUCGGAUUUACUGGGCGUAAAGCGUGCGCAGGCGGUUUUGUAAGCCAGAUGUGAAAUCCCCGGGCUUAACCUGGGAAUGGCAUUUGGGACUGCAAGGCUGGAGUGCGGCAGAGGAGACUGGAAUUCCUGGUGUAGCAGUGAAAUGCGUAGAUAUCAGGAGGAAUACCGAUGGCGAAGGCAGGUCUCUGGGCUGACACUGACGCUCAUGCACGAAAGCGUGGGGAGCAAACAGG
rnacentral:rRNA from 1 species